rnacentral:rRNA from 1 species
AUUGAACGCUGGCGGCAUGCCUUACACAUGCAAGUCGAACGGUAACAGGUUAAGCUGACGAGUGGCGAACGGGUGAGUAAUACAUCGGAACGUGCCCAGACGUGGGGGAUAACGUAGCGAAAGCUACGCUAAUACCGCAUACGAACUGAGGUUGAAAGCGGGGGACCGUAAGGCCUCGCUCGGUUGGGGCGGCCGAUGGCAGAUUAGGUAGUUGGUGGGGUAAAGGCUUACCAAGCCUGCGAUCUGUAGCUGGUCUGAGAGGACGACCAGCCACACUGGGACUGAGACACGGCCCAGACUCCUACGGGAGGCAGCAGUGGGGAAUUUUGGACAAUGGGCGCAAGCCUGAUCCAGCAAUGCCGCGUGCAGGAUGAAGGCCUUCGGGUUGUAAACUGCUUUUGUACGGAACGAAAAGCCCUGGGUUAAUACCCUGGGGUCAUGACGGUACCGUAAGAAUAAGCACCGGCUAACUACGUGCCAGCAGCCGCAGUAAUAC